GGACCCGCACAAGCGGUGGAGCAUGUGGUUUAAUUCGAUGCAACGCGAAGAACCUUACCUGGUCUUGACAUCCUGCGAACUUUCUAGAAAUAGAUUGGUGCCUUCGGGAACGCAGUGACAGGUGCUGCAUGGCUGUCGUCAGCUCGUGUCGUGAGAUGUUGGGUUAAGUCCCGUAACGAGCGCAACCCCUAUCCUUAUUUGCCAGCACAUUAUGGUGGGAACUAUAAGGAGACUGCCGGUGAUAAACCGGAGGAAGGCGGGGACGACGUCAAGUCAUCAUGGCCCUUACGACCAGGGCUACACACGUGCUACAAUGGGAUGGACAAAGAGUCGCGAAGCCGCGAGGUGUAGCUAAUCUCAUAAACCUUCUCGUAGUCCGGAUUGGAGUCUGCAACUCGACUCCAUGAAGUCGGAAUCGCUAGUAAUCG
rnacentral:rRNA from 1 species